GCUCAGACACUGAGACCACUUUCCAAGUUCGUCGUCCCACGGAUAGCUCGCGUUUAAUAUGUCCUGACUCAGAUGGAACGUGGCGUUCUCCGCGUACUCGUUCGGAAGUAAACAUCUAAGACAAAGGAAUUUUCAAUUUACCCUCCGAGGAAAACACCGGCCAAUUUGUGAAAAGCACACGAUAUCGCCGGAAGACAAAGCAGAAGAUAAACUCGGCGUUGAUAACGACCAAAUUCGCCCAUACGAAGGAUAACGUCGUCGUAUGCCAUUUUCUUCCGAAAGACUUUUUCAUCAUGAUAUCCGAAAAUUCAGUUCUCGGAAAAAUAUGCACAAUUCACGAGGGCACCCGCAUACGUCUUACAAAGAAUGUUCCUGGCUUCUCAUUCUCAACAUUCAGUCCAUAGAUCGCUUAUCGGG